rnacentral:rRNA from 1 species
GGGUUGUGAGGUUAAGCGACUAAGCGUACACGGUGGAUGCCCUGGCAGUCAGAGGCGAUGAAGGACGUGCUAAUCUGCGAUAAGCGUCGGUAAGGUGAUAUGAACCGUUAUAACCGGCGAUUUCCGAAUGGGGAAACCCAGUGUGUUUCGACACACUAUCAUUAACUGAAUCCAUAGGUUAAUGAGGCGAACCGGGGGAACUGAAACAUCUAAGUACCCCGAGGAAAAGAAAUCAACCGAGAUUCCCCCAGUAGCGGCGAGCGAACGGGGAGCAGCCCAGAGCCUGAAUCAGUGUGUGUGUUAGUGGAAGCGUCUGGAAAGGCGCGCGAUACAGGGUGACAGCCCCGUACACAAAAAUGCACAUGCUGUGAGCUCGAUGAGUAGGGCGGGACACGUGGUAUCCUGUCUGAAUAUGGGGGGACCAUCCUCCAAGGCUAAAUACUCCUGACUGACCGAUAGUGAACCAGUACCGUGAGGGAAAGGCGAAAAGAACCCCGGCGAGGGGAGUGAAAAAGAACCUGAAACCGUGUACGUACAAGCAGUGGGAGCACGCUUAGGCGUGUGACUGCGUACCUUUUGUAUAAUGGGUCAGCGACUUAUAUUCUGUAGCAAGGUUAACCGAAUAGGGGAGCCGAAGGGAAACCGAGUCUUAACUGGGCGUUAAGUUGCAGGGUAUAGACCCGAAACCCGGUGAUCUAGCCAUGGGCAGGUUGAAGGUUGGGUAACACUAACUGGAGGACCGAACCGACUAAUGUUGAAAAAUUAGCGGAUGACUUGUGGCUGGGGGUGAAAGGCCAAUCAAACCGGGAGAUAGCUGGUUCUCCCCGAAAGCUAUUUAGGUAGCGCCUCGUGAAUUCAUCUCCGGGGGUAGAGCACUGUUUCGGCAAGGGGGUCAUCCCGACUUACCAACCCGAUGCAAACUGCGAAUACCGGAGAAUGUUAUCACGGGAGACACACGGCGGGUGCUAACGUCCGUCGUGAAGAGGGAAACAACCCAGACCGCCAGCUAAGGUCCCAAAGUCAUGGUUAAGUGGGAAACGAUGUGGGAAGGCCCAGACAGCCAGGAUGUUGGCUUAGAAGCAGCCAUCAUUUAAAGAAAGCGUAAUAGCUCACUGGUCGAGUCGGCCUGCGCGGAAGAUGUAACGGGGCUAAACCAUGCACCGAAGCUGCGGCAGCGACGCUUAUGCGUUGUUGGGUAGGGGAGCGUUCUGUAAGCCUGCGAAGGUGUGCUGUGAGGCAUGCUGGAGGUAUCAGAAGUGCGAAUGCUGACAUAAGUAACGAUAAAGCGGGUGAAAAGCCCGCUCGCCGGAAGACCAAGGGUUCCUGUCCAACGUUAAUCGGGGCAGGGUGAGUCGACCCCUAAGGCGAGGCCGAAAGGCGUAGUCGAUGGGAAACAGGUUAAUAUUCCUGUACUUGGUGUUACUGCGAAGGGGGGACGGAGAAGGCUAUGUUGGCCGGGCGACGGUUGUCCCGGUUUAAGCGUGUAGGCUGGUUUUCCAGGCAAAUCCGGAAAAUCAAGGCUGAGGCGUGAUGACGAGGCACUACGGUGCUGAAGCAACAAAUGCCCUGCUUCCAGGAAAAGCCUCUAAGCAUCAGGUAACAUCAAAUCGUACCCCAAACCGACACAGGUGGUCAGGUAGAGAAUACCAAGGCGCUUGAGAGAACUCGGGUGAAGGAACUAGGCAAAAUGGUGCCGUAACUUCGGGAGAAGGCACGCUGAUAUGUAGGUGAAGUCCCUCGCGGAUGGAGCUGAAAUCAGUCGAAGAUACCAGCUGGCUGCAACUGUUUAUUAAAAACACAGCACUGUGCAAACACGAAAGUGGACGUAUACGGUGUGACGCCUGCCCGGUGCCGGAAGGUUAAUUGAUGGGGUUAGCGCAAGCGAAGCUCUUGAUCGAAGCCCCGGUAAACGGCGGCCGUAACUAUAACGGUCCUAAGGUAGCGAAAUUCCUUGUCGGGUAAGUUCCGACCUGCACGAAUGGCGUAAUGAUGGCCAGGCUGUCUCCACCCGAGACUCAGUGAAAUUGAACUCGCUGUGAAGAUGCAGUGUACCCGCGGCAAGACGGAAAGACCCCGUGAACCUUUACUAUAGCUUGACACUGAACAUUGAGCCUUGAUGUGUAGGAUAGGUGGGAGGCUUUGAAGUGUGGACGCCAGUCUGCAUGGAGCCGACCUUGAAAUACCACCCUUUAAUGUUUGAUGUUCUAACGUGGACCCGUAAUCCGGGUUGCGGACAGUGUCUGGUGGGUAGUUUGACUGGGGCGGUCUCCUCCUAAAGAGUAACGGAGGAGCACGAAGGUUGGCUAAUCCUGGUCGGACAUCAGGAGGUUAGUGCAAUGGCAUAAGCCAGCUUGACUGCGAGCGUGACGGCGCGAGCAGGUGCGAAAGCAGGUCAUAGUGAUCCGGUGGUUCUGAAUGGAAGGGCCAUCGCUCAACGGAUAAAAGGUACUCCGGGGAUAACAGGCUGAUACCGCCCAAGAGUUCAUAUCGACGGCGGUGUUUGGCACCUCGAUGUCGGCUCAUCACAUCCUGGGGCUGAAGUAGGUCCCAAGGGUAUGGCUGUUCGCCAUUUAAAGUGGUACGCGAGCUGGGUUUAGAACGUCGUGAGACAGUUCGGUCCCUAUCUGCCGUGGGCGCUGGAGAACUGAGGGGGGCUGCUCCUAGUACGAGAGGACCGGAGUGGACGCAUCACUGGUGUUCGGGUUGUCAUGCCAAUGGCACUGCCCGGUAGCUAAAUGCGGAAGAGAUAAGUGCUGAAAGCAUCUAAGCACGAAACUUGCCCCGAGAUGAGUUCUCCCUGACCCUUUAAGGGUCCUGAAGGAACGUUGAAGACGACGACGUUGAUAGGCCGGGUGUGUAAGCGCAGCGAUGCGUUGAGCUAACCGGUACUAAUGAACCGUGAGGCUUAACCUUACAACGCCGAAGGUGUUU